GCCUGGCUGGCUCAGAUGGUGGAACAUAAGACUCUCAAUCUCAGGGUUGUGAGUUCGAGCCCCAUGUUGGGUG
rnacentral:tRNA from 1 species